AGGCGGCCCCCGCUGUGUACGUUCUAGCACGGCGCCGGCGCCGCUCUAUGGGCCUGGCGCGAGCCGGGGGCACGGGGGUAGGCGAUCGAUCCAACAAUCACGUUACAGAGAGCCGAAGACUGGUAUCUGUAUGCUACAUCGGAUGCCUCAGCGCUGCUCAAACUGCUCGUGAACUACGAUCCUUCUAUAUUGAUGUGCAGCAAGAAGUCCUUCUUGUGCCACCAGCUGAUGGCCUUCAUUGAACUUAAUCACAACACAUGUAAAGCAAAUAACAAAAUAAAACAAAUUCAGUAACAGAA